rnacentral:piRNA from 1 species
GGAUGACACGCAAAUUCGUGAAG